rnacentral:rRNA from 1 species
AUGAAUGAGUCUUUGCUUGCCCCGUAUAAUGCUGAGGAGGUAAGAAAGGCCUUGUUUAGUAUUGGUGACAUUAAAGCUCCUGGCCCAUAUGGGCUACAUGCGAUAUUUUACAAAAAGUUCUGGCCACUUGUGGGUGAUGAUUUGGUAAGGGAAGUCCUUCAUGCAGUAAACAGUGGGGUCAUCCCAGAAGGGUGGAACACAACAACAAUUUUGCUACUUCCUAAGGUAGACAAAGCAGAGGAAAUAUAGUAAUAUAGGCCUAUUAGCCUUUGCAAUGUCGUAUAUAAAGUUAUCUCUAAACUUUUGGUGGCUAGACUAAAGGUCUUCCUACCUGAGAUAAUCAGUGAAACUCAGAGUGCUUUUGUGCCCAGGAGGAUAAUUACAGAUAAUGUCAUAGUAGCAUAUGAAUGCCUGCAUACAAUGAAGAAAAGGAAUCAAUGGAAACAUGGUACUUUUGAAGUGAAAUUGUAUAUGCACAAGGCAUAUGAUCGUGUUGAGUGGGUUUUUCUAGAGGCUAUCCUGGCCAAACUUGGGUUUGCAGAGAGAUGGAUCCAACUUAUUAUGUCAUGUGUUACUUCGGUUGAAUAUACAGUGAGAUUUAAUUCACAUGAGACACAACUAUUCAGACCUACAAGGGGUUUGAGGCAGGGAGAUCCUCUGUCCGCGUAUCUCUUCCUACUGUGCACGGAAGGUCUUUCAUCUUUAAUUGCGCACGAGGAGAGACAGGGAAGAUUGCUGGGUGUACAGGUCUAUAGAGAUUUCCCAAAAAUCUCUCACCUAUUAUUUGCGGAUGACUCUUUGAUUUUGGUGAGGGCCGAUUCUUCAAAUGCCUUGUCGUUGAAGAAUGUAUUAGAUGAUUAUUGUGCGGCGUCGGGACAAAUGGUGAGUGUAGCUAAAUCCUCUAUUUUUAGCCCAAAUACCCAGGUGGAGGUGAGAGCAGUUGUAUGUGAAAUCCUGGACAUUAUGACCGAGUCUUUAUCUGACAAAUAUCUGGGGUUACCUUCUAGGAUUGGAGUAGACCGCAUGGAUUGCUUUUUGCACCUAAUUGAAAGAAUCCGGAAAAUGGUGAAUGGUUGGAAGGAAAGAACUCUAUCUUUUGGUGGAAAAGUGGUUUUGAUAAAAGCGGUGGCCCAAACCUUCCCAACAUAUGCGAUAAGUGUAUUCAAAUUCUCAAAGAAAAUUUGCAAGGGGAUCACUGAUGCAAUGUCACAAUACUGGUGGGGUGAUGAGGAAGAUCAACGCAAGAUGAAUAGGUUUGCAUGGUGGAAAAUGUGUGUACCGAAAGAGAAGGGUGGAAUGGGGUUCCGAGUUAUCCAUGCUUUUAAUUUAGCUUCGCUUGCAAAACAGUGUUGGAGGUUAAUUGAGAAUUUUGAUUCUUCGUGUGCUCGAGUGCUAUGA